UAGCACAUACACCAGCCCAGUCGUCUCGUCGUGGAUGAGCUCGCCGUCCGUCCCGACGCAAUCAAAUACGUACGUACUACGUACUACUGCCUAUAGGAAGCUAAAUGGUAAGCUUGACUUAUACUAGUAUCUGUUAUACUACCGCCGCCGCCGGUGCUGCUGCUGCUUGGGGAUGUCAUCUUGGAGCCCGGCAAUGGCUUCUGGCAAGUGAUCUCUAGGCUCCAAAGGGGAUCCCCAUGUCUGUCCGUCUGUCCUUCUGAUGAUAAAACUCAAUGGCUCUUCCUCGUCGGAGCGCGGGAAGCCAUUGCCGUCCCACUAAUUGUUCCGCCGGCCGAUCAGCUCGGCCGGUGUGAUCCUUGGUUCUCUGAUCUGUAUCCAUCCAUGUGUUUGCCUCUGGGGCUAAGACAAGAGAGAGAGAGUGCCUCCCCUCCAGCAUGUACCAUUUGACAUUGGUUGAUGGAGAGGAGCAUAUUAUUUCACCUUCAUCCUCUGUUGCUGCUUCUGCUGCUUAUCCUUGAGGGAAGAUCUGUCUAACGUUAUGUGUACAGUGAUCGAUCAACGGGGAGAGUGUCCCUCUUUUGUUGCUGUUGAUGUGGUAGUUUCUUUCUUGUGUCAGCUACGGGCUGGAUUGGAUGGUGCUCUCUCGGCUCACUCUCGUCCAAUCCGUGCAUGUGAAAAAUACGCCUAUCUUAUCUAUCUAUCCUGUGUGGUGAUAUAUGCUUCUAGUCCAGUCCAGACCAGUAGUAGUCUAGGCUAGCAGUAUAAAUUCUCUUCUAACUUUUUGUAUCUUUCUCUCCUUUUCUGAUUGAUGUACUCUGAUGAUCCUUAUGUAUACACAUGUUUGGAGUUUGGACUGCUACUGUACUCUACUAAGUUGAUCCAUCCAUUCUCGGUUUUUUCCCCUCCACAUGGGUGUCGGUGAGGAAUGUGGUACCGGUAAAACAAAGAUGAUAUGCAAGGUUUAUAUUUCUUGGAUUUUCACACACUAAUGCAGAGUAGCACGGUACUCUUGUCGUAGGGCUUUGGUUUGAGGUGAUGAUGAUGGCUGUUUUGUCCUUUGCUCCUCGCGCCACGUGGCGUCGUCCUCCACGCGAAAUUUAGGCAGCUUGUACUUGGGUGGAACCAGGUAUGGAGGAGGUGGUCUGUCGGCGAUCGGAAAGUGAUCCGUUGCGUCCCGUUCCGGUGGCCACUGCGUUGCGUGCCCCCGUUGCAACGCGAAUGGACCGGACCGUGUCAUUUCUCCCUUGCCUCUGCUGGUUGUUGCCUUGUAGGAGGAGGAGUAGAUGUUGUGAUCUGAUCACGCUGCUGCUGGUGCUGGUGCUGGCUCUGGCUGGUGUGAGUGAAUGUGACAUUAUUCUGCAGUGAGUGCGUGCGUGCAAGUCAUUCUUGCACGCAGGAGGGUCGUGCGUGCUUUGGCAAUGGCGUACUGCAGCUACCCAUUUCGGGCGCUCGGCCGUGCGGGAGAAGGCGUCUCGUACGGUACAGGAUCAGAGAGAGACAAAUGGCUGGAGCAAUGCCCCGCAGCCAGCACGGGCGUUUGAUCCAAGCAGCUGGCGGCUGCCCUGGGGCCGUGCCACUGCCAGUGUGCAAAACAGCACAGCCACAUCUGUGUUAUAGUGUUGCGUUUUCUGCUGGGGGUUGCAGUGUUGCCUAGCUGAUGAUGGCAGUAUCAAUACACAAUGAUGAAUGAAGAGAGAGAGGCGAGGAAGACAAGGGGUGGCAUCAUUUGCGUCGAAGGGCCAAGGGCAAGGAGGUGAGGGCGGCUGGUUUUCUCGUGCGCUUUAAAGUCACGGAGCGCAGCGGUUGAAAACAUGGACGCUCGCAAGCAAAGGUGGCGCAAGUCUCCUGAAAAAGACAAACGGGUCCUGCUGCGCUGCCCUGCCCCAUGUUCUCAUUUACUGCCACUCUGCAUUGUAUAUCCGCCCCGGCCAUGGUGCGGUGCGUCUGUCUGCGGCAACCGGGCGGGCGGCCGGCCGGCCUCGAUCGCGGCGUGCAAAGUUAAGGCUUCGCGCGCCACGUCCAACGGACAAAGCGCGGCGUUUUUUGGAGUUUUCCCGGCGGGCGCGCUCGUUCACUUUCGUCUUCUCCGUCCACCUUUGCUUCGUCUUUCCUUUCCUACUACUGCUACUGCUUCUCCUAUCGCUGCCCCGCCGGUCGGUGUCACUCGUCGCUCGCCGUGUUGAUCUCUUCCAAUUAUUUCUUCUCGGACCAACCGGUGCCGGUGGGGAUUAAAUUGGCAAAAAGAUCUAGACAUGGAUGGUAAAAAAAAAUCUCUUCUUUUAUGGUGCACUUUGGCCCCGAGAGCGAUUUUUGCCGCCAUCCAUCUCCAUCCAUGCAUCAGAAAUACCACAGCUGAAUUCUCCUCCGCUCACACCUAGGUUAGAGACAUGGUAGUGAGGCUGCGACAAUUAAUUUGGAUGGAAGGAAGUACUAGUAAGUUAUCCAAAUAAUUAUUGUUACUCCUAGAGCAACUUCAACCGGACUAUCCAUUUCGUUCACCCAUGUCCGUUUGGGUCGUCGCGGCCAAAAACGCACGGACCCAUUUUCGGCCCAAAAUUGCGCCUGAAAUGUGUCGGUGAGGACGCGAAACGGACGAGCCGCGCGUCCCCUCGGUGUCCGCCGCGGUCCCACUUGGCGGCCGCCCAACCACCGCCCGCGUCUUAUUAAAUGUUAGCAUCUACCUCGGGGACCGCCUCGCAGUGUGUGGAAGGUCCGUGUGGCCGUCCUUUAAUGAAAGCGUGCGGCGGGGUCGACCUCAUCCACUUCCAACACCCUUCCGCAUCUGGCCACGCGGUGCUCCCUCGCCGGCGACCAGAAACCCUAGCAAGCCACCACCAUGGGGUUUUUCAACGGGUAGGGGAGGGGAAAGCUCAGCGGCGGCGCGAGGUCCUCCACCGCCGCCUGCUAGACGCGGCUCGCCAUCGGAGCGGCAACGCCUGUACAUACCAGUCCACCAGGCGCGGUGGCACUGGCAGAUGCCAAGGGAUGGCUAAAGAGAGGAGGAGGCUCGAGGGCGCUGGUGGACUCCAGAGGCGAGGUUGGCAUGAGCGGGCGCGGGACGCCGGACAUACCCAGGUUCGGGGCUCUCCACAGAGAUAAUACCCCUAGUCCUGCCGAGUGUAGUUGGAUGAUCGAUAGUACAAUGUUGCUCCUGGAGCUGUAUGGAGGAGGAAGGAAGCUGGCCAAGGCUUGGGCUGCUCCUUCUCUCCGGUGUUGCUGUUUUGUGGCUAGUCCUAUGCUUACUUGCUUUUCUCUCGUAUGUGUUUCCUGCUUGCCCUCUCGCUCGCCCCCCGAAUGAUCGUGGGCUCCCGGGGGGUUUUAUAGUCCAACCCCCGGGGGGUACAAUGGUAAUGUUACAAGUCGGUGGGUCCGUACUGUCGGUGUCCGGGGACCCGGGCUGGGUCCCGCUGAGGGCUCGUGGUUCGCCGGGUUCCCCUAGGUGCGGACCCUGCAAGCCUAGGGGGACUGUGCGCCAUCUUGUCGAUCGUCAAGGCGUGGCCGAGUCGAGUCGCGUACAGUGCUCUCCGUCAGGUUGCCGCUUGCUGUCGUCAGCGGUGAGGGCGGGGGCACUGUAGCCACGCCGGCCCUGUCAGCGGGUAGGUGAGGGGCACUGUUGCCACGUUCCUGCUGACCAGAGGCAUGGGGGGGCACUGUUGCCUCGGUCAUCGUUGAUUGAAGUCUCGUCCCCAUCAUACGGCCUGGAUGGGACGGGAGUUGACCCGCGGCCGGAUUGCGUAGCACGCCAUGGGUGUCGCUGGCUUGUUGAGGAGGCUUUGGCCGUGCCGGGUUCGGCUGUCUUGCGCUAGUUGUUGAGGCCGAGUCGACGUGUCUUGCCGGGUCGGCUAGUCUGGCCGGCUUGCGGGGCUUGGCCGGGUCGAGCGACCCGGCCAAGCGCGUGCCGGUAUUGAGGGGCGGUUCCAGCCCCGUUGUUUUUUGAAGAGGAUCCGGGUUCCGUUGCCUGCCCGGGGUCCAUCCCCCCGACAGUAGUCCCCAAAGCUGUGAAGGUCCGCCGUCUUCGGAUGAGUGGGCCUUCGCAGUUUCCCCCUUAAGCAAGGUGGAUUCUGCGAGCGCCGGGUUCGGCAACACCCACUGUGUGCCGGUUUUCUCGGAAACCGGAUCGUGGCAUCCCGGCCGUGGCGGGGACCGAGAAGUCCACCGAAUCUUGGGACAAUCCCUCGGGCUUUGCGCGGGCGCCACGUGGUGCCCGGAAGUCGGAGGGGCCUGACAGGCCACGCGCGUGACGGGACCGGGCGACGGGCUGGGGCCCACCGCCGCGCGCCCUCGGCCCAAGCGCGCGGAUUUAUUGCGGCGUCCGGGGGCCGGUUGCUCUUCCCCGGGCAGUUACUGCGCGUGUACGUGCGCACUUAUUGCGGGGUAGUGGAACGGGCGCGUGCAGACGAUCCCACUUCCCCACUUCCCCACGUUCAAACCGAGGGUUAUAAAUCGGGGGGCAGGGGGGCGGCGGACAUUAUUCUCGCUUGCGCCCUCCUGUCCCUUUGCUCUCGCUCCGCUCUUUGCAACUGACGCACUACGGCGCCCGCUGCUCCGAGCAGAACUCCUUUGCCGUCCAUCUUCCUUCUUCUUCCUUUGAUCAUGUCGCUGCCAUCGGGCUCCUGGAUGGGUUCGAAUGUCACCUCCGAGGACAUCACCCAACUCCGGACUACGCGGCGCCUGCCGCGGGAGAUGGACGUCGGCGUCCGCCUGCCGCGCAGCGUGCAGAGGCCUCGGCCCGAGGGGCAGGAGCGCGUGGUCUUCCUCACGCACUUCGAGCGCGGGUUCGGGUUGCCGGCGAGCACCUUCUUCCGCGCGUUCCUGGAGUUCUUCGGGCUCCAGCCGCAUCAUCUUGGCGCCGGCGCCAUCGUCCAGCUCUCCGUCUUCGUCACCCUCUGCGAGGGGGUACCUGGGGGUCGAGCCUACGAUCGACCUCUGGGCGCGCUUCUUCUCCUUGAAGCAGCAGGGCCCGUCGGCCGGGGAGUUCGCCGAUUGCGGCGCCGCCGUCAUCUCGAAGCGGUCGGGGGCGGAUUUCCCCAAGAUCCCGCUGGAGGAUUCUGCCAAGAAGUGGCAGAACUCCUUCUAUGUCUGCAACCUUGGUGCGGAUCGCAUCAACCUUCCGGCCUUCGCCAUCGCACCGCCGUGGGCGAAGACGAAUUGGGGCUACUCGCCCAGGCGCCCAUCGCAGGAGAUCUUCAACCUCUGCGAGCGGGUGACGGUGAUGAGGACGCAGGAGGGGCUCACCGGCACGGACCUCCUCGCCGCGUUCAUCAUGCGCCGGGUCCUUCCGCUUCAGGGGCGCUCCUGCCUCAUCGGCGAAAUGGUCGGCCUUCAAGACGCCAACCGCAUGGGGUCGACGCGGCUAUCCGCGGAGCAGAUCGCGCGCGGCGUGAAUGACAUCUCCAAGGCCAACCUUGGGGAGGACUGGCGGUUCGGCAAGGCGCCGUACAGCCAGUCGAACCCGGCGCCGCAGGUGAGUGUCUGGUCUUCUUACUUUUCUGCCGCGCACCUUCUCAUCCGUCCUGACGCGACACGGGGGGUACUUCUGAAUGCGAUUCGACAUCCUUACGCCCGGGCCCCGUCGCAGGUGGCGCCGGUGGCGCCAGAGGAGCCCGCGGCUCAUGGUGGGGAGGAGGAGGCCGAGUCCGACGCCGGCGCUGGGCGUCGCGCGGGUAAGUCUCGUGUUUUUUUCAUAUGUCUUGAAUUGCUGACCGCGGCACGGAACGGUCGGUGCUGACGCCAGUUGUCGGUGUAGUGGCGUUGGGCGGGGGAGGCGGCGACGCGGGCGGAAAUGGGUCCUCGCACGGGGCGGCGCCGAGCCGCCCGCAUGGUAAAGAUAGCGUCGCACCGCGACCCGGGGCCCCGAAGCGCAUGGCGGACCCGGCCGGGGCCGGGAGGCCGACCAAGAGGAAGCGCGGCGGCAGGCACGGGAGGCCAACCCCGGUCCCGGUCUUGGCGGGGUAAGCUUCAUCUCUCGUUUGCGCUCAGAUUUUUUUUCUUGAGCUAGUCUUGUUUUUUUCCUGCUCAUUCUGUCUUCUUCUCCAGGUUACCAAUCGCGCUAGCAAGGGCGGCGGCGGAAGCCGCGACCGCCGAAGGGGCCGCGUUCCGCAGGAGUCGGUCCGACCUCGCCGACCAGGCCGAGGUGGAGGGAUGGGCCGACUCGGACCUCGGCCUGGAUCCGAACGACGCCGAAGCCUUGGCCUGGCGGGACAGGAACCGGGCCGAGGCGGAGCUGGAGGAGGCGUAAGGAUGGCAAUUUUACCCACGGGUACGGGUACCCGUGGGCACCGUACCCGCAUGGGCCGGGUAUGGGCACAAUUUUAUACCCAUGGGUAAUACCCAUACCCUACCCGUUAAGUCAUGGGUAGGGUACGGGUAUAAUCUUGUACCCGCGGGUAUACCCAUACCCUGCCCGCUUGUAAACUAAUGUUAAGUUGUCGUCAAUUAAUCAUUAAUUUGUCAUGUGGCUUGUCUACUCCUAUUGACUUAUGAGUAUGUUGUACUCAUCUACCAGUUAUUGAGUUGACAUAAUUGUUUUUUGGUCAAAUGUGCUAUCAAUGAGCGUAAAAAUGCGAACAACUCAUGUGCUAUUUGUUCUACGCGCUGGGUACCCAAUGGGUACGGGUACCCGUCGGGUAUGAGUAUGGGUAAAGUUUCAUACCCAUGGGUACGGGUAUGGGUAGAAUUUUGUACCCACCGACUAUACGGGUAUGGGUAUGGUAUUGCUCUACCCUGCCCAUACCCUACCCGUUGCCAUCCUUAAGGCGGCGGCGGUCCGUGCUUGGACCGACGCGGCGACGGCAUGGGCGCGAGCUGGCGCGGAGCCGGCCUGGCGCGAGAUGCCGGAGGGCACGGUGGUGGCGGUGACGGUCUUUGAGCCGUCGUCGGUGAGGGAGCGCGGCCGUGGAGGCCGGGCUGAGGUGGUGAUUCCCGACCGGGAGGUCGUGGAGGUGGCGGAUGACACCCCGCCGCGGGCCGACGUGGUUGAGCGAGCGGGGACUGAUGGUUGUGGAGGCGGCGUCGUUUUGGAAGAGACGCUGCGGGCAGCGGUGUCGGAGGCGCCGCUGGUUUUGGAGGAGGCAUCGCGGGCGGGGGUGCCGGAGGCCACCCCGGCAGCUGGGCCGGAGACGGCGACGCAGGGCGUCCCAGUGUCCGGGUCAGAGACGGCGAUGCAGGGCGUCCCAGCGUCCGGGUCGUCGUCGGCGCUGGGAGGGGCGUGGGAGGAGGUGCUGGCCGCGUCGCGGGCAGCCAACGAGGAGUACGCCUUGGUGCCCCGGCAGGGAGGGCGCCGAGCUGCCGUGCCGCAGCCGGCGCGGAGCGGGGGCGCUGUUGUCUUCGGGCCUCAGACCCAGGAGGAGGCGGCGCUGGACGCCGUCAGUCGCCGCCUGCGAGGCCGGACGGAACGGCUCGAGGCCUUCGCCCAGGCCGAGGUGGAGCGGACGCGCGACCUGGAGCCCGCCGUUUUGGUAAGUCUUCUUGUAAUUUCUUCUUUGUGGGGGCGCGCCAGCGCACCCACUGGGUGUAGCCCCUGAGGUUCGGGAUAACUACGUAGUAGUUGGGUCGAAUCUUUAGAGUGUUGGCCUUAUUCUGAUUUCUGCUUUCUUCAGCAUCUCGACGCGUUCCAGGUCGCCGCCUACAAUCGUCUCCUGGGCAAGCACCGGGAGCUCAUGGAGCAGCUUGCCGCCAAGGAGGAGGAGCUCCGCGUCGCCGCAGGUAUUCUUGUGCUCUUUCCUAGUGGAGGCGCGCUAGCGCACCAUUGGGUGUAGGCCCCGAGAUUCGGGCCAACUGUGUAACAGUUGGGCCAAAUCUUAAGUCUUGCUUUUUUCUUCUGCUGAGUCCUUUUUCGCAGCCGAGGUGCUGUCCUGGCGGACUCGUCUGCUCCGGAUCGGUCAUCACUACGACCGGCUCGUUGCUGACACCGGCCGUCUUAGCGUCGAGGCGGCGCAGGCGAGGGCGGAGGCGGCCGCGGCUCGGCGGUCUCCCGACGAGCCCAACUGGCUGCAUGAGCAGCUGGCAAUGACCAGCGACUCGGCCAACUUAGCGCCGUCUCGGGCGCACUCCAGGGUCUUGCAGUAAUCGCCGGUGAUGGUGAUGAGGCCCUUGGGACCCGGCAUCUUCAUCUUUAGGUACACGUAGUGGGGAACCGCCAUGAACUUGCCGAGCGCGGGCGGGCCCAGCAAUGCGUGAUACGCGCUGGACAGGUCCACCACCUCGAACCAGAUCGGUUCGCACCGGAAGUGGCUGCUGUCACCGAACAGGACAUCUAGCCGGACCCGGCCAAUGGGGGAGCAGGAGAGGCCGGGCACGAUGCCGUGGAAGAUCGUUCGGGUUGGCUCCAGGUCCUCGGCCUUGAGGCCGAGCUUGGUCAUCGUGUCGCGGUAGAGAAUGUUGAUGCUGCUGCCGCCAUCGAUGAGGACUCGGGAGAACUUGCAUGUGCGCCGCGCGACGAUGGUGGGGUUGAGGACGAGGGCGUAACCACCCGGGCUCGGCAUGACUGCCGGGUGAUCCUCCCGGGUCCAGGUGAUCGGGCGAUCCGACCAAUGCAUGAACUCCGGCUUGGCCGGGACGACGGUGUUCACCUCCUGCCGAAGGAGGCGCUCACUGCGCUUGUCGCCGCCGAGGCGGGUGAAGACGACGUAGGCCGCGUUCUGGUCCGGGUAGGCGUCGUCGCGCAUCGCGCCGCCAGCUGGAGGCGGCGGUGGAGGCGGAGGCGGCUGUCCCGCGCUUGGAGCCGGAGCCGGAGGGGGCGGGACGUCGCCGCUCAUGAUGCGCUUGGUGAUGGCGCACUGCCAAAGCGUGUGCGUGGAGGGUCUUGCGCCGCUGUGGUGCUUGCAGGGGGCGUCGAGCAUCUGCUCGAAGCUCAUGGCGGGUUGCCAUGCCGUCUUGCUGGCGUUUCGCCGCCGGGUCCGCCGCGGGCUCGGUGGCCGCGACGAGCUGGUUGUCGUGACGCGGCGCCGGCUAAUCGGCCUUGCGCUUGUUGUUCUGGUUAUGCUGCUGCCUGCUGCUUUCGCCGGUCGGCUUCGGAGGGGGUACCGACUUCGCCUUGCCGGCUUCAUCCAGCGCCACCUGGAUCUUCAUGGCGGAGUUGGCGUUGGCGUACUUGUCCGCCGUCACCAUGAGCGCGGCCAUGGUGGCCGGCUCGGAGCGUAAGAGCUUGUGCUUGCGGAGGGUGCCGUCUCGGCACCCGCUGACGAAGUACUGGAUCGCCUGGACUUCAUGGACGCCCUUGCAGCUAUUCCGGAGUUCGGUCCAGCGUGCGAGGUACUCGCGACCGGUCUCCGUAGGUCCUUGCACGCACAUGGCGAGCUGGCUAGGGCGGCCGGGUCGCUUGUAGGUGCCCGUGAAGUUGCGGACGAAGGCUUCCUCGAAGUCCACCCAUGUGUUGAUGCUGCCCAUCAACAGACUGUUCAACCACGUGUGGGCCGACCCUUGGAGCAUGAGCGGUGCGUAGCGCACGGCGAGACGACGAUUGGCACCGGUGAUGCCAAUGGCUGUGGUGUAGUCGGUGAGCCAGUCUUCUGGCUUCACCGUCCCGUUGUACUUGGGGGUGUCGCGGGGGAGCAUGAAUUCUUUGGGGAAGGGCUCCUCCCGGAUGCGCGGGCCGAAGCACGCCGGCCCGAUAGCGCCGCUCUCCUCCACCUCCAGGGAGCGAGCGAGCUGAUCGAGGCGGUGGCGAGCGUCGGCGUCGUCGAUGGCGCGCGGGACGAGUCGACUUGCGGCCAGGCCACGGGGGGCCGGGUCGGUUGGAGCCGGACGCCGGCCAUGCUGGCCGGGUCCGCGCUGGAUCUCUAGGACGAGCUCGUCGCCCAAUCCGCCGGCGGCUAUAGCGGCCGGGUCGCGCUGAGUCCGGGCUCGGCCGGAGUGCGCCUCGCCGGGUGGCGAGGAAGCGGUUUGCAGAAGUUCGUCGGGCCCGCCAAGGCGGACGGAGCCGGAUCCCGCCAGCUUGGCGAGCUGGUUGAGGCGGUCCUGCUGGGUGUUGGCGGCGUGGAGGAGUUCACGCAUCCGCCCGAUGCGCUCUUUCAGCUCCUCACCCGCGAGCUGGUCCAGGCCGGCUGCGGCUGCCUGGGCAGCGCGCAUGUUCUUCGCUGGGGUCUCGUAGACGGUUGGGACAGCGCCGAGGGCCCAGCCGAUCGCUCCUCCCCCGGCACGCACAUUGGCGACCCGGCUUGGCUCGGCCGCGGCGGGCAUGAAUCCGUAGGCGGCAUCGCGCUCCAGCUGAGCGACGUCCAGGCGAUGCUGAGUGGCGGCGAGCGUCUCAGACAGGUCUAGCAUCUGUUGGCGCCUUUCCUCGAGCUGGGUUCGGGCCUCAGCGACGUUGGUGGCGUCGAUGUCGGUGCCGAUGGGGAUGAGGAGGCUCUUCAUUGCGGCGCGCAACGGAUUGGACAGCUCGAUAAGAUCCGCUGCGGCCCUGGCUUCGACAGCCUUCCUCGUCUUGCUCGACGAGGAGGAGGCGCCGUCGCCGGUGACGAAGACCUCCACAUGGAUGUCCAUUGCCCCGGCGGAAAUGCCGCCGCCGAGGGAGAGGGGAGAGUCGGAGUAGCUGAGCACCUUGCUGGGGUACUCAUCGGCCGCGAACGCAUCGGAGAUGCGCAGCGUGGCGAAGGAGGCGACAAGCGCGCCGACGACGUCGUCCGCCCGCGCGACGGACUCAUCGGUGUAGGAGAAGGUCCCCGUCUGAAGCAUGCUCCCGGCCAGCUCCUCGAGCUUCCCCACGGUGGGCGCCAACUGUCGUGCUGGGCGCAUGGCAGAUGCCAAGGGAUGGCUAAAGAGAGGAGGAGGCUCGAGGGCGCUGGUGGACUCUAGAGGCAAGGUUGGCAUGAGCGGGUGCGGAACGCCGAACAUACCCAGGUUCGGGGCUCUCCGGAGAGAUAAUACCCCUAGUCCUGCCGAGUGUAGUUGGAUGAUCGAUAGUAUAAUGUUGCUCCUGGAGCUGUAUGGAGGAGGAAGGAAGCUGGCCAAGGCGUGGGCUGCUCCUUCUCUCCGGUGUUGCUGUUUUGUGGCUAGUCCUAUGCUUACUUGCUUUUCUCUCGUAUGUGUUUUCUGCNNNNNNNNNNNNNNNNNNNNNNNNNNNNNNNNNNNNNNNNNNNNNNNNNNNNNNNNNNNNNNNNNNNNNNNNNNNNNNNNNNNNNNNNNNNNNNNNNNNNNNNNNNNNNNNNNNNNNNNNNNNNNNNNNNNNNNNNNNNNNNNNNNNNNNNNNNNNNNNNNNNNNNNNNNNNNNNNNNNNNNNNNNNNNNNNNNNNNNNNNNNNNNUUGGGCUCCCGAGGGGUUUUAUAGUCCAACCCCCCGGGGGUACAAUGGUAAUGUUACAAGUCGGUGGGUCCGUAUUGUCGGUGUCCGGGGACCCGGGCUGGGUCCCGCUGAGGGCUUGUGGUUCACCGGGUUCCCCUAGGUGCGGGCCCUACAAGCCUAGGGGGACUGUGCGCCAUCUUGUCGAUCGUCAGGGCGUGGCCGAGUCGAGUCGCGUACAGUGCUCUCCGUCAGGUUGCCGCUUGCUGUCGUCAGCGGUGAGGGCGGGGGCACUGUAGCCACGCCGGCCCUGGUCAGCGGGUAGGUGAGGGGCACUGUUGCCACGUUCCUGAUGACCAGAGGCAUGGGCGGGGCACUGUUGCCUCGGUCAUCGUUGAUUGAAGUCUCGUCCCCAUCAUACGGCCUGGAUGGGACGGGAGUUGACCCGCGGCUGGAUUGCGUAGCACGCCAUGGGUGGCGCUGGCUUGUUGAGGAGGCUUUGCCGUGCCGGGUUCGGUUGUCUUGCGCUAGUUGUUGAGGCCGAGUCGACCGGCUUGCGGGGCUUGGCCGGGUCGAGCGAUCCGGCCAAGCGCGUGCCGGUAUUGAGGGGCGGUGCCAGCCCCGUUGUUUUUUGAAGAGGAUCCGGGUUCCGUUGCCUGUCCGGGGUCCAUCCCCCCGACAGCUGGCGUCUGGAUCAGGCAGCGGAUCCCCAUUCCGGCAACGCCACGCACGGCGCGGGCGCACGCCGAGGAGGUUCGCCAGCGUCGCGAGGCCCUCACUCUGGAGCAGCAGGCGAUGCGUGCCUACGCGCCAGACUCCCCCAACUGGGAGCGCUGGUUCGCGCUAGAGCACGAGGAGGAGCGCCGCCAGGGCGUCCACGUCGACCACGACGUUCCUUCGCCGUCGCGUGAGGUUCUGUCGGACGAGGAGGAUGAAGAGGCGGCCUACCAAGCCGCCCUCGAGAUACCCCUGCAGCACGCGCUGGAAACUAGCAGGAUCGAUUAGGAGGCCCAAUGGGAUGGGCUUGAGCAAGCUCUCGCCUUGUCGGCGAUGGGGGACUCCGUCCACGCACCGCUCUUCGUCCCGCCUCCGCCACCGCCGCCGCUGCCCAUCGUCGAGCCCAAGGAGGAGCCGGAGCCCAUGCCGACUCAAAAUCGCCCGCUGCCUCCGCCCAUGGCUGGAGGAGUCCUACACGUGGACCCGACAAGCUACGCGAGUGGGUGAGCGCGCCUCCAGUCCACUAUGCCGCGACACCGGAGGAGGAGAAUGCUCACCUUGAGCGCUAGAAGGCACACUGGCUCGCCGAGGAGGGGGCCGACGGCGAGCGGCAGAUGCGCUGGGAGCAGCAGCUGCGCCGCGACGAGGAGGCACUCCGGCUUUAGGAGGAAGAGGAGGAGAGCGUCUGGCGAGCCGCAAUGCCGGAGCCCCAGCAGACGCCCGAGGAGGCUGUCUUGGCAGCCUACCAAGCGGUGUUCGGGUGGGCUGGCCUGGCUCCCGUCUUCAUCGACCUCAUUGACGGCGACGACGACGGCAAGGGCAAGGCCAAGGGCAAGGCGGAUGUCUAGGGCAGCGUACGGGCGCAAUUUUUUUAUGUUUUAAUUAAUGUUUUAAGUGUACUUUGGCCGGCAGUUGACCGGCCACUUAAUGUUUUAUUUAUGUUUAUUUCUAAGACGUGCUGUUUUUUUACGCGCGUAAAUUUGGGUCGGCCGACCCAAAUAAAAAAAGCAAACACAGUAAUCCGACUAAUCGACCCAAAUAGAUAAAAAUGUACCAAACAUGAGUUGGGUCGGGCCGUUGGAGUUGCUAUUAUGUCAUGUCUUCGUGGACGCAUGAUUAACCGGCGCAAGAAGGCCGAGAUAUUAUCCCCGAGGUGUGCGUUGCCGUCUUGGUAGUACCAGACACGAACAGUGCUAAAACAGUAAUGCCAUGUGUUUCGCUCUGGGCGGUACAAUUAUGCACAAGGGAAGGUUGUACCGAAUCCAAAUCUUUCUGCGAGAAAUAAUCCAGGCCCGCUCAAUUUUUGGCUGGCUGGCUGGUACUCGUGGCCUCUGGCUGGCCAUGUGUAAAACGCUCUUUUCCUUGGCCAAACCUAACACUCUACCAGGCUCAUUUAUUUGCGUCUGUACGUACGUACUGCAGCCGGCGACGUCUAAUUAAGCGGCUCGGGCGGACAAAUCUUCCCCUUAUCUCCAGACCUGGACAACCCAGAAACCGACACUCGGAUGAAUAGUGAGCCGUACGAUCUAUCUACCACUUGCUUCCAGUAACAUUUACUCCUAUAGUACUAGUUAAGAGCAAAUUUUCACUUCUUUUUUGAUAAAAAGGAGCUUCUCACUUUCCCCAGACCCACUUGUCUUAGAAUGAGGCAGCAGCCACAGAAUGUUUUACAGCGCUCAGACACUGAUCGAACUCAUGGAUAAGCCUACGGGGAAGAAAACAGAUGACAGCAUGACAAACAUGUUCCAACGCCUUCAGACCAUUCAGCGGCCGCGGACUAGGUGGUGUUAGCCUGUAGGAUCGCACGCCGUUGCUCGUCCAUCGUCUUCAUGGGCAGGGUGAACCCAAGGGAUCCUCAGAGGUUCGCCUCUUCGACGAUGCAGCAGCAAUAGGCAUCGCAACAUGAGGGUGGGCUGCAUUCUGCUAAAAUCCUUCACUGAUGCAACAACUUCCCGACAUGCAUCUUCAUCUGUCCAAACCUUGCCCCGGAAGAGUUUCUUGCUACGUAAGGGCAACUCUAACUGAUCCCCUAAAAGUUUAUGGACGUCGAGCGGAGUAAAGUUGGUGGAGGAAAAUUUUACUCCACUAAGUGUGACCGCACAUAGCCGCAUGAACUCUAUACUUAGUGGAGUAAAAGCAAAAUUGUGUAGAUUUUUUGUCCUAGCCGCAUGAACUUCACACAUUACACAAUAUGUAUCAUAAAAACAUUCAAACUAAAACAUGCAUAACAUAACCGUCAUAACACAUAGUUUCAUCAUCGCGUUUUUUAAAUUAAAACAAGCAUAGUUUAUCCAAAAGGCAUCACUUAAAACAUAAAUGUUUGAUCCAAAAUCACCACAAACAUAACAUAUAUAUACAUAUACUAUGUUCUGGAUCGAGCAACCCAUUGGCAUGCACGAACUCAAACGAGGUGGUCUCCGAAGAAAACAUCAACGCUGCCGCCACCACGACCAUCCUCUCGGCCACCAUCACCUCCAUCCUCUCGGCCGCCGACACCAGCACCAGCACCAGCACCACCACCAUCACCACCCGCUCGGCUACCAACAAUCACCGAUCGGCCAAAAAGUCGAAGAUUUUUUUACCUUGUAGGCAUUUAGUCGACCACUUGGCGGUGGCGACCUUUCAUGCCGGCCGGCCCCCGCCGGACGUGCCAGAGAUGUCGCCAAUGAUGAUGCACGAGGCGCCGGCUGUGGGUGGGACGCCGUUGUCGCCUUUUUCUUCUUCCUCUUCGCGGCCUCCUCGGCGAGGGUCGAUGUCGCCGUCGUCGGUUUUCUUGCUCAUUUGGACGCAGAGGGAGCGGUGGGAGGGCGACGCGUCGUUGCUGGAGAGGCGUUCACCACCCUAGCGGCCUUUACCGCGGUUGGAGCCGAAGCUUGAACCCGGUAGACUUUUUUAUCCCCAAUUUCUUCUUCGGCGUGGGCGCGGUGUGGUGGCCGAUGGGGUGGUGGCGGGGUCUGGGGUAUCCAUUUCGGCGGGUGGUUCAAUCAUCGGUAGCGGCGGCGGGACGUGGAGGCAGCUGUGGAGGAAAAGAGGAGGCGGGAGAGAGGAGGCGCCGCUUUUUCUCAGUCGAGCGCGUGGUGAGAUAUUUAGGGAGAUUGGAGGGAUUUUCGGCGGGGGAGGAUAAUUUAUCCUCCGCUAACCGUUUUAGGGGAUCAACUAUGAAAGCAACUUCAAACAUAUUAUGCACAUCAUUCUUUUUCGAGGACAUCCAUUUUUAAGCGACAUCGAUCAUCACAAACGUACUCCCGCCGUCCCAUAAUAUAAGAGAGUUUUGCAAGCUACUCCCUCCGUCCCACAAUAUAAGAGCAGUUUGCAAGCUAUGUUAGCUCACAAAACGCUCUUAUAUUAUGGGACGGAGGUAGUACAUAACAGUAGAAAAUACCAGACAAACUUGACAAAAUGACUUGGGUAACGGCAGACUCGAAAAACUGUUGUUGGACAAACUCAUUUCCCCACGGAGUAAGGGCAUCUCUAGUGCCGACCCUCAAACCACCCGCAACUAUCCGGACCAUGCGAUCCGGAUGUGUUUUGCCAUCCAAGGCGGUCCUCUACCGGUCCGCUCGGCGGGUCGGACGCCGCAAACCGGAAACAAACUAGGGGGGCUUUGCGGGCGUCAAGACCGGUGCCACGUCCACUUCUGACCUCUCUGUGUUAGGGCAUAUUUCUCUCUAAGUGAUUUUGGUGAUUGAUGACAAUGCUUUUGCGGACUAAUCAUGUGCAUUGAGCAUUUCAGAUAUUCCUUCGUAUGGCACGAGACGAUUUCUACCCCUUGGUGUUUAAAAGAGAAGACGGUGUUUUUUCCUUCGUUUCAUUUUUAGUGGACUUGAGUCCGUAUCAGAAAGGUUUGGGUGGAAUCAACACGUACACAACUCCCUUUCACCCCUAGUUCUUUCCCGCUUCUUCGGAGUGUCCUUCCAUGGUGUUGGAGUGGCUCAGGUUGAAGCCAGCGGUAGUACCGCGGUCGACAGCGGUAGUACCGCCUGUGUAGGCAGGCGGUAGUACCGGUCCAGUACCAUUGUACUACCGCCUCGAUUGGGUCCUCAGGUUUCUCGUGUCGGGUUCAGCGGUAGUCCAGCGGCAAUCCCUCUAGCAUUGUCAGAAUCGGGGCUCCGCGGACCCAACAAGGUUCGAACUCUGGGGCAUGUGCGAAGAUCUACCGUAGCCUCAAACUCAAGCUCAUCCCCUCAUGGCUUGGCCUCGUCGAGUUCAUACGAGCGGGGAAGAAGAUGAACAUGGGGGUUUACCCAGGUUCGGGCCACCUUGCUGUUGGUGUCAAAACUGGCAGAUCUUGGGUAGGGGGUCCCGAACUGUGCGUCUGAGGGUCGAAGGUAAUAGGAGACAGGGGACACGAUGUUUACCCAGGUUCGGGCCCUCUUAAUGGAGGUAAUACCCUACUUCCUGCUUGAUUGACUAUGAUGAGUACAGGGGUUACAAGAGUUGAUCUACCUCGAGACCGUAAUGGCUAAACUCUAGAUGUCUAGCCUGUAUGAUUAUGAUGAUCUCUACGGACUAAACCCUCCGGUUUAUAUACACACCGGAGGGGGCUAGGGUUGUACAGAGUCGGUUUACAGAGAAAGUAAGUUUCAUAUCCGAACGCCAGGCUUGCCAUCCACGCAAAGGAGAGUCCCAUCCGGAAACGGGGUAAGGCCUUCAAUCUCAUAUCUUUACGACCUAUUAGUCCGGCCCAUAUCACAUAGCUCGGAUGCUUGGGGACCCCCUAAUCCAGGACUCCCUCAGUAGCCCCCGAACCAGGCUUAAAUGUCGACGUGUCCGGCGUGCAGAUUGUCUUCGGCAUUGCAAGGCGGGUUCCUCCUCCUCCGAAUACUCCAAAGCAAUUUGAACAAAAGAACUGUAUUCGGCUUUUCGAUGAUGACGCAGUGUCCGGCUUCAUAUCUUCGGCUUUUUAAGGUGGGCCCUCCUGAUACUUCGGGCAGCUUCGGCUUUACAUUAAAUAUCAUACCUUUCAACUUUUGCGCCACCGUCGCCUCGGCUUCCAUGUGUUAGACGAAUACAAAAGGUCCAAGUGUUUUUACAGAUAACACCCUAACUUUGUAGGGAAUGCGUCUAUUUAAGGAGAUUGGAUCUCAGAUGCCAUUCCACAACAGGCGAAAAUCCUUAGAGCUUGCCACAGGAAACCGCGCAAACAUGCAUGGCUGGCGCUCCCAGUUCUUCCUCACGACCUCACGGCCCCCAAAAAGGCGAUUGAGAGAGCUGCUCGGUAUCCCACGCCCAGCUAACCAAGUUUCAGACGCAGGGGUAUCUCCCUCCCGCUAAUCUAGUCCCCGUUUAGGCGGGAUUAACUUCCAUCAAUGGCGAAGCCCUGGCGGAAAACUUCCCCAAUCCUACUGAAGGGGAGCGAGUGUGCUUGGUUUCCUUCCUAUUAAGAGGCGUUGGAUUUCCAAUCCACCCUUUCCUCCGAGGUGUCCUGGAGUAUUAUGGCCUCCAACUGCACAAUCUUACGACGGGCUCUAUCCUGCAUAUCGCGGGUUUCGUCGCUCUUUGCGAGCUGUUCCUAGGCUGGGAGGCCCAUUUUGAGUUAUGGAGGAAACUUUUUUGCCUCAUCCCCCGCUCCCAAUAGGGAUCCAUAUUCGAGGUGGGCGUUGCCGAAGUAUGGCGCGUAGCCGGGACAGGAUACCUGUCCGGCACUCCGAAGAGUGGCCCUCAGAAUGGUUUUAUAUUGAAGACGUUGUUCUUCCAGACCUAAUCCGACGGGGCCUUCCCGAAUUUUCCAACGCUUCGUUAAAGAAGCGCACCAGCUGGCGCCCCCGAAGCCUCGAGGAGGAAGACAGUGCGGAGAUUAAGAAGGUAAUGAGCAAGAUAAAAAUACUCGCCCAAUCCGAACUAUCUAUAAUUGAGGUAAUGGCGAUUUCAAUAACGCGAGGCGUUCAGCCACUCCAAUCCAGGGGACUCCCUAUGUGGCAUUACAACGGGGAAGAUGACGCAUCACGCUGCGGGCGCAAGGGUCCGGACAACUUCGCCGCCUUGGCUGCCAUGUUGGCCGAUCUUUACAAAGGGGAGAAAGAAGAUUUUACUUGCCUUAAAUGCCGAGAAGUUCUUUCCAUGUACAACCCUGCUAGCUGGGUGAGCUUUCGAUCAGUAGCCUUAUUCAAUCCUCCUCUUGAGUCGUACUUAGUUGAACUUAAUCCGACUAUUUUUAACAGGAAUGGAGAAAGGUCUUCGCGGGGAUCCAUAGUCCCGCUCCGCAGCCGGAGGACCAUGUUCGAGACCUGGACCCCAGAUUUGAAGAAGAUCCGGGUAUUUUUAUCGAGCUUAAGGAGGGGGUCUUUUAUCAGGCGAGCUACGACGGCACGGAAGUGGCCAUUAUAGCCGAUUACCCCGGCCUUCUCCCCUCCUCCCACGUAAGUACCCAGGAGACGUCUCCUCCAAAAGAGUUUUCUCAUUGCGCCUUACCCACCGCACUGUCUCGUGCUCCAAAGGGGCGGCGCUCGUCUCGCCACGCUGUAUCAGAGGAUUCCCUUAAGAGGGCGACGCCUGCGCAGGGCGGGUCUUCAAAAAGAAAGGCGGAUGGCGAUACUACCGAGCUCCCAUCUUCAUCAAAGAGGUAUGGUUUUUAAUAUGCACUAGGCAGACGUACCGGAUUGUGACGUUUCCUGCCGUGCCACAUUUUUAGGAAGAGCAUACGUCGGACUAUGUCCGGAGACUUCGCCGAUCAUGCAUCAACCAAUCCGACCCCGGACCCUGCCCCAAGGACUAGGGUUGAUACGGGUGAAAUGCCGGAUUGUCCUCUCCCUGAGGAUUCGGAUAAUGUAUCCGUCACCAACUCCGAAGUGGAGAGUGCGAUGAACCAUCGACGCCUGAGGGCGGCUAUGCGUGACCCGAAUUUCACCGAAGAGGCAUUCAAUGCUUCCAGCUCAGCAGAUGCAUACCCAAGCUGCUCGGGAUGGGCUUGCUGGAGCCACUCACCAGCUUUCAAAGGAUAUGCGGGUAAGCACUAUUGUGUAGAUUUAAUAAUCAUGUGCCAGUAGCCCCCGAGCCUUGAAGCAGUUGGCCCAACUGAUUUAAGGGUCGUUACGCCAUCAGGUACUCACGGAGAAGAAUAACACAUUAUCCAAGGAGCUGGAAGAAUGUCGAACUAAGCUAACUAUUGCCACCGCCGAACUUGGAAAUUUAAAGAAAUCCAAGGGGGCACCCGAUGGUAAGCACAACAGUAUCUGGACAAUAUUAGUCCGUACCCAGAAUGAUUCUAACAUUGCAUUGUUUUCAUAUGCAACGGCAGGAUCGUCGAACCGGUUGGACGAAAGGCUAAGGGCUGCUCAGGCGGACAAAGAACAUGCCGAAGGGAAAGAAGCCGCUGGUCAACGUGUAUUAACACGGACCAUUAAUGAGAAGAACAAACUACAAGAUGCAAACAUCAAGCAAGCCGAAGAGCUGAAGGACAUACGAGCCCAACUGGCGGAUGCCUUGAAGGAGAAAAGAAAGCUGAAAGGCGGCAUAUUCAGUAUGCUCUUGAACCUCACUUUCGUAUGGUCCCCUGAUGGAAAGAUUAACAAGUUUGCUUCUGUAGGUGUGCUGACUGGGUGGCCCGGAGGCGAAGUUUCUAGAUUUCAAGGCGAUCUGGUACAAGAGCUGUCCAAAGUGCAUGAGCGAGCUCGAAAGGCAAUGAGGAACAUUGCUAAGGCUUUAUGGCCAUCCGAUUCUCCUCCAGGAAGUAUGGAGGAACUCGUGAAUUUAUUCAAGGGGACUCAUCGCCGUUUUAGGCUAUGGAAGAUAUCAGCAUGCCGAGAAGGCGCACGAGAGACCUGGGCCAUGGUGAAAAUGCGGUACACUGGACUUGAUCCGAAUCAUAUGCCCGGGUCGGACCUCGGGGACCAAAUGGACAAGAAAUUCCUGUUAGCUUGGUGUAUGACCAAGUAAAGAUAGCCGCCAAGUUUUCAUAGCAGGAUUGUAAACUAGACAACCUGUUAGAUGGUCUAGAGGAGGAAGAAGUUUUUGAGUCCAAGUAGCAAUGUACUGUUAUCAGCAAACUUAUCUCCAGCCGAAUUGUAAAACGAUUGUCAUGGCAGACCUUCUGCUUCAACCUCCGAAACCCAAGGUUUGGAGUGUUUCCGAAUACUAUACCAUCGGUAAACACCAAAGUAUGUUUGAAAACCAGGCAGUCCGGUCAUAGUUGCUUGAACAGAAAAGUUGUAUUCGGGAGUUAAGUUAUAUUACAUUUGAUCGUAAGAAACAUCUUCCAGAGAGAAUAGUUCUGUUAAGGGUUCCUCUCCCUGGGCCAGCAUGCGUUGUUGUGCAUGUCUAAGCUGUGAUGCGAAAAAUCACAGUACACGUUAUGUUUUGGGGGCUUAUAUUGCAAGGAGGGCAGUUCAUAUUUUGUCCACCGACCAAUUAUUCCCUUAAAAACACUAUCUUUCGGCUUCACCCGUCUGAGGUACACUUCCCGAUAACCCGGCUGUAACAAUCGCAGAGGUGCUCCCUUUAUGCCCUAGCCGAACAAACGGGAACGUAGGGCAUAAGCACAGGAGCCAGGCAACCCAUAUUGGCAAAAACUUAAGUUAUAAAGGUGCAUAUAAUGGUGAAGAAAAGACAUAUAUGAGAAGAUGACACAUAUAUACGGUGAGCUUGAUGCUCAAAAAAUAAUAAUAAGCUUCUGUGAAAAGAAGCCCCCAGGUAUUGUGGGGUAUGUACAUUUAAGGAUGUAUACCCCUUAAGUGUGCGGUUUAUCCGAACAUGAGCUAGAAGUCGUAUAAAAACUAAAAGAAGAAAGAGAAAAAAGGGAAAAAGGUAACGAACAAUGAGUCCAGACUUAGGCAUAGAAUCUUCGGAGUCUGGCAGUGUUCCAUGGGUUUGGCUCUAAGCAAUUAUCUGAUGCAUUACGAAGGCGAUAGGCUCCUCCUGUGAGAACUUCAUCUAUAAUGAAGGGACCCUCCCAUUUGGGUUUGAGCUUGUCCUUUUUCUUCUCUGGUAGGCGUAGAACGAGUUCACCGACAUUAUAAGUCUUGGCCCGCACUUCUCUGCUUUGGUAUCUUCGAGCUUGUUGUUGGUAGAAUGCUGAAUGAGCUUUUGCGACAUCGCGCUCCUCCUCCAGGCCAUCUAAGUCAUCUUGCCGGUCGAGCUCAGCCUCUCUCUCUUCAUACAUGCGCACUCGAGGUGAGUCAUGAAUAAUAUCGCAGGGCAAGACGGCCUCUGCGCCGUACACCAUGAAGAACGGUGUGUAUCCGGUCGUGUGAUUGGGUGUGGUCCGCAGCCCCCAGAGUACGGAGUCGAGCUCCUCAACCCAGUGUUUAUCUGACUCCUUUAAGGAUCGCACUAGUCUGGGUUUAAUGCCGCUCAUUAUCAGGCCAUUAGCCCGUUCAACUUGACCAUUUGUUUGAGGGUGAUACACGGAGGUGUAAUUGAGCUUGAUGCCCAGAUUAGCACACCAAGUUUUUACCUCGUCGGCUGUAAAGUUAGAGCCGUUAUCGGUGAUGAUGCUGUGUGGGACACCAUAACGGUGUACGACACCGGAUAUGAAAUCUAUCACUGGUCCAGCUUCAGCCGUUUUAACUAGUUUGGCCUCUAUCCGCUUAGUGAAUUUAUCUACCAUGACCAGCAGGUAUUUUUUCUUAUGGCUUCCCCCUCUAAGGGGUCCAACCAUGUCAAGCCCCCAGACCGCAAAAGGCCAAGUAAUGGGGAUUGUUCCUAGGGCGGUAGGCGGCAUAUGGAUUUGAUUGGCGAAAAGCUGGCAUCCUACACAACGUUGGACGAGGUCUUGUGCAUCUGCUCGGGCCGUAGGCCAGAAAAAACCAGUACGAAAGGCCUUACUUACAAGGGCCCGAGCUGUGGCGUGAUGGCCGCCGAGACCAGCAUGGAUUUCGGCCAAGAGCUGCCGCCCCUCUUCUUCGGAGAUAUAUCUUUGAAGGACUCCGGUAGUACUUUUCUUGUAGAGCUCUCCUUCAUGAACCUUGUAGGCUUUCGACCGUCGAACGAUGCAACGAGCCUCAUUCCGGUCCUCAGGGAGCUCCCGCCUAUUAAGGUAGGCCAGGAAGGGUUCGGUCCAUGGGGCGAUUACUGCCAUGAUUACAUGGGCGGAGGGUGUUGGUUCUGUGCCCGAGCCCCCGAUGAUAUCUGAAUCGUGUUCGGCCGGCGCCGGACUGGUGGUUCCGCUCUCGUCCUGCCAUACUACGGAUGGCUUGAAUAGCCGCUCCGCAAAGGUGUUAGGUGGAACGGGGUCGCGUUUAGUGCCCAUUCGAGCAAGGAUGUCCGCUGCUUGGUUACUGUCUCGGGCCACGUGAUGGAACUCAAGCCCCUCGAACCGAGCUGAUAUUUUGCGCACGACAUUGCGGUAAGCUGCCAUCUUUGGAUCUUUUGCAUCAAAUUCUCCGUUUAUUUAGGAUAUUGCUAGAUUUGAAUCCCCUCGCACCUCAAGGCGUUGUAUGCCCAUAGAACAGCCAUCCGGAGACCAUGCAGUAGGGCCUCAUAUUCGGCUGCGUUAUUGGUGUCCGUAUACAUGAUUUGCAAUACAUAACGGUCUGUGUCCCCUGUAGGGGAUGUUAGGUUAACACCGACCCCUAAUCCGGAUAACAUUUUAGAGCCGUCGAAGUACAUCACCCAGUUGGAGUAUGUGCCGUACUCUUAGGGAGUUCGACUUCUGUCCAUUAGGCAACGAAGUCGGCCAACACCUGAGAUUUAAUUGCUCGGCGUGGAUUGUAUGUUAUUUCAAAUGGUAGGAGCUCGAUGGCCCAUUUUGCAAUGCGGCCGGUGGCGUCCCGAUUGUUUAUGAUGUCAUUGAGUGGUACCUCGGAGGCCAUCAUGAUCGAGCACUCUUGAAAGUAGUGUCGUAGCUUCAGAGAUGCCAUGAAAACCGCAUAUGCUAUCUUUUGAUAGUGCGGGUAUCGGGAUUUGCAUGGUGUGAGAACUGCCUAUACGUAGUAUACGGGUUUUUGGAGUGGGAAUUUAUGUCCCUCUUCCUCUCGUUCGACGACGAGUACCGCGCUUACCGCCUGGUGAGUUGCAGAUAUAUACAGGAGCAUAGGUUCGCCGACGUUAGGUGCGGCAAGGAUUGGGUUGCUUGCUAGUAGAGUUUUUAUUUCUGCCAACCCGGCUGUUGCCGGGUCCGUCCACUCAAAGUGGUCAGUACGCCGAAGUAGGAGAUAUAGCGGCAGCGCCUUUUCUCCCAAUCUGGAGAUAAAGCGGCUCAAGGCUGCCACGCACCCAGCUAGUUUUUGGACCUGUUUUAGGUCUGUUGGUAUUGCCAACUGUGAUAAGGCUCGGAUUUUGGCUGGGUUUGCCUCGAUUGGAAACGAUGAACCCGAGCAGCUUUUCGGCCGGAACGCCGAAAACACAUUUUUCCGGAUUGGGUCGUAUGUCAUAUGUUCGGAGGUUGUCGAAUGUAAGACGUAAGUUGUCCACCAAUGAUUUGAGAUGUUUGGUUUUGAUGACUACAUCAUCUACAUAUGCCUCCACCGUCUUGCCAAUUUGUUUUUCCAGGCAUGUUUGAAUCAUGCGUUGGUAGGUGGCACCGGCGUUGUUGAGUCCGAAAGGCAUAGUGUUAAAGCAGAAAGGCCCAUACGGGGUGAUAAAUGCCGUUGCGGCCUAAUCGGAUUCCUUCAUUUUGAUCUGAUGGUAUCCGGAGUAUGCGUCGAGGAAACACAGUGAAUCGUGUCCUGCAGUUGCAUCAAUGAUUUGGUCAAUGCGGGGCAGUGGGAAGGGGUCCUUAGGGAAAGCUUUAUUAAGGUCCUUAAAAUCGACGCAAAGGCGCCAUGAUUUGUCCUUCUUUGGCACCAUAACCAGGUUUGCUAGCCAAUCUGGGUGUUUUAUUUCUCGAAUAAACCCGGCUUCAAGUAGUUUGGCUAGCUCCUCCCCCAUAGCUUGCCGCUUGGGUUCGGAAAAUCGCCGUAGCGCUUGCUUAACUGGCUUGAACCCCUUUAUUAUAUUGAGGUUGUGUUCGUCCAGUCUGCGUGGGAUUCCCGGCAUAUCCGAAGGGUGCCAAGCGAAAAUAUCCCAAUUCUCGCGCAGGAAUGCUCAUAGAGCGGCAUCGACCGCCGGAUCCAGUUGUGCCCCAAUGGCUGCUGUUUUAUUGGGAUCCGUUGGGUGGACUUGGAAUUUGACUAUUUCAUCUGCUGGCUUGAAAGAAGUGGAUUUAGGCCUUUUAUCAAUAAUUAAGUCGUCUCUAUCCACUGUGGAACGCAGAGCGGUGAGCUCCUCGGCCGCAAGGGCUUCGGACAGUGCCUCGAGGGCUAGGGAUGCGGUUUUGUUUUCGGCGCGGAGUGCUAUGUCCAGAUCGCUGGCGAUAGUGAUAACUCCGUUGGGCCCGGGCAUUUUGAGCUUCAUGUACCCGUAAUGAGGUAUGGUUUGAAAGCGUGUGAAUGCAUCUCGCCCUAACAGGGCAUGAUAUCCGCUGUUGAAAGGCACCACCUGGAAGAUUAAUUCUUCGGACCUGUAGUUCUCAGGCGUGCCGAAUACCACAUCAAGUUUAAUAUUUCCCGCACACCGGGCUUCUUGGCUGGGGAUAAUACCUCGAAAGGUUGUACUGCUCUGCUCAAUGUGGCUCUUGUCUAUUUGCAUUUUGUCGAGCGUGUCCUCAUACAUGAGGUUUAAUCCGCUGCCUCCAUCCAUGAGCACUUUAGUAAGUCGAAAGCCGUCCAUAAUUGGAUUGAGAACUAAGGCGGCUGGUGCUCGGACUAAUCGGGCCCGUGGUUCGUCAGUGGCAUUGAAAGUUAUUGCCAUGUCGUUCCAAGGGUUCGAUGCGGUUACUUGGUUAAUUUCGGCGAGGUCGCGGAGCGCCCUUUUACGCCGAUUAUUUUAAGAAAAGGUCUCGAAGACCGUAAACACAUUGAGAUCGCUAUCCUCGGGGGAGUACCUCGCCGGGGUAGUGUUGGUGAGUAGGGCCUCACCGCUUUUAGCCACCUGCCGGAGUAUCCAACAUGCCCGAAGGCUAUGUGUUGGUUCGGAAUUCGGCAUUGCGUGUAUCUGACAAGGCUUGUCGAGCCAUUCAUCAAGGACAAUUUUGUGUCCCGUUAAAGGUUUAAUUUUCCUGUCCGUGAAGUGAUGAUCAGGUGCCCCGUAAGGGUGCAUCCUUUUUGCCCGACCGGUGGGUGGCUUAAAGGCCGGUGGUUCCCACCGAGCUGUCUGGGCUUUCCAAGCGUUUUCCAUUGUGCAAUACUUCUGUACUAUGUGUGCCAAAUCUGCGAAGUGCAGUAUGCGGCGUCUAUUGAGGGCAUUGAGGAUCCCCUCGUCUGUAUAGUUGCGGCAAAAGACUUAUACCGCAUCAUCAUCGCAGCAAUCUCUAAUCUUGUUUUUAACAAGUAGGAAUCUGGCCCAAAAGUUAUGGACUGUUUCCUGAGGUUGCUGUCGUAUAUACGUUAAGUCGCAUAUGUCCGGGGGGCCGGAAUUUCUUGGAGAGUAUUGAUUGUGGUGGGCGGGUGGGCUUAAAUCCGAACCCUGACCCACUGUGGAAUCCGGAUUUUGAAAAAUUUCUGAGGUCAUUGGCCGAGGAUCUGGAGUGUCCUGGGGGUUUUUAGACUCAGCAGCUGAUUCUAUGUCCGGAAUGUCGUAGGGCUCGGAGAUCCGAACAUAGUUUGUUUUUAGCAUAGGAGGAGCGGUAUCCUCAACUUGUUCUUCCACGACAGUCACCAGGUGGGUGACAGGUGGAGACCUGAUUUCCCUCUGAUCGGGUUUAAGCCCAAUCGGAUCGUAAUCUAUUGCGACCCCUAGGGUGGCGAUGCGAUCUAGCAAUUCGUUUAAAGACGAGAUAUCUGCCGGAUCCAUCUUAUCGACACUUUCGGGGUUGAUGCGGAGAUGAUUUUUGGCAAUCCGGGAACUGCCUUGGGCUUAACGGUCGGGCAGGCGCCUAUGGUGAAACUGCCGAUUUGGAGGAUCUGCCCAGGAACUAGGGCCCUUCCAGAAGUGAUUUUGUUGUUGACGACAAGACGAUCCAUCAAUCCUUCUAUCGACAACACAGAGGAACUCUCAAUGAAAGCACCAAUGUCGGUGCCAAAACCGGCAGAUCUCGGGUAGGGGGUCCCGAACUGUGCGUCUGAGGAUCGAAGGUAACAGGAGACAGGGGACACGAUGUUUACCCAGGUUCGGGCCCUCUUAAUGGAGAUAAUACCCUACUUCCUGCUUGAUUGACUGAUGAGUACAGGGGUUACAAGAGUUGAUCUACCUCGAGACGGUAAUGGCUAAACCCUAGAUGUCUAGCCUGUAUGAUUAUGAUGAUCUCUACGGACUAAACCCUCCGGUUUAUAUAGACACCGGAGGGGGCUAGGGUUGUACAGAGUUGGUUUACACAGAAAGGAAGUUUCAUAUUCGAACACCAGGCUUGCCAUCCACGCAAAGGAGAGUCCCAUCCGGACACGGGGGAAGGCCUUCAAUCUCAUAUCUUUACGACCCAUUAGUCCAGCCCAUAUCACAUAGCCCGGAUGCUUGGGGACCCCCUAAUCCAGGACUCCCUCACUUGCGGUGUAAAACCCUACUCCUGAUUUUGGUGGAUUGGCCUCACAAGGAGGCCGAGGAUGAACUAGUACAGUGGAUGAGCAACCUCACGAGGGCUCUCGUGAUCAGGAUGGAUCGAUCCUUCUCUACAGUGGAGGCUAGUCUAUAUUUAUAGUGGUCUUGGUCCUCUUCCCUCAUUGCUCAGGGGGGAAGGAAUUCCACAAUGACCAUUUUUGAAAGGGGACAAGAAGUACAUCUUAUCCUGACGAAAGUUGGUCUUCGCGUGCAAAGCUUCUAGUCGUGACACAGUGGAGAGCUCGGCGAUGACAUCCGUCCUGCCGAGCCCGCGGUCGUGGUCUCACUGUACCGGAAUGGAAACCUUUGGGGCCAACCUCGGGAACCUGCACCCAUCCUUCCUUAGCACCAAAGAAGGAACGUCCCCUCUGCACCCGCUGAAGCCUGCCUGGCCUUGGUCGUCAUGGCUCAGGUCAUUGCGGCCUUAUGAGGCGGGGUAUCUGAAUAGAGAUCUCCGCUCCUCGGGAGGCAGGCUUGGGGAGUUACUCCUCUAGAGGUCUUGGCGUCACUCGCCACGCGAGGCCGGGGGCCCUCGCGAGGGUCUUCCUCGUGUAGUCUUGCUUCUGGGCCUUGCUGAGCCAUCGAUGGGCCGCAGGCAGGCAGGUUUGGGUACCCCCGAUCCCAGAACACCGACAGUAGCCCCCUGGCCCAAGGCGUGCCUGGCCAUGCUUCGAGGCGAAGGCAAGGAGCGAAGGGCGAAACGCCAUGGGCCCCAAUCACCUGCUGGCCAGGCUUGACGCGUGACGCACGAUGGGGCGCGGACGCCUCCACUUCCCCACGUCGCCUCGGCAACCAUCUAGGCUGAUAGAAAGCCUGACGCACGCUGCGGAACCAUCAUUGCACGAAGGUGAGAGGGCGUCGGCCGGCCUCCUCUUACUGCCUAUAACAAGGCGAGGGGCUAUGCCCCAUCCCAUCUUCGUCUCCUCGCCCGUUUGCCCCCAACCUCUGCCACGGCGACCAUGGCACCAGAGAGGAGGUUCAUUGCCGAGGUGAAAGGGAAGGCUCCCCAGGAAGUGUCGGGUUAACCACCGCCCAAGAGAGGGCGCGACCGCCCUCGCAAGUCUUCGGCCACGCCAGUAGCAUCAUCCUGGGGGCGCGAGCGCCCUCCACUGGUGGUCCGCGCCAGCUCAGGUGGCCGCGGGAAGAACCCCUCCCGUGGGGGUGGCCGCGGAAGCUCUGGUGGCCAUGGCUCAGGAGGGAGGCGUGUGGCGUCCGUCCGGCCACCUCGCUUGCGGGCCCAUUUGGAUGACAUGGCCCGCAAGUUUGUGGUGUGUAUGGAGGGUCCACCCCUCACCUGGAUCCAGGUUUCGGGCUCCUUCGCGGAAGAGCUGUCAGCCGGCGGACCCACUGGCCUGUGGUUGCAGCCUGACAGCUAGUGCCACAGGUCCUCGUGGGCGGAGGUCGAGGUUACCUCGGCGGGCUACGUGUUCCUGAACCACAGGUGGCAGACGUUCGCUCGUGACCGCGUCUUGCAGGGGAGGCGCACCCUCCACUUCAAGUACGAUGGGGCAGCGACGCUCUUCGUCAAGGUCUUCGGGGAAGACGACAGGUGCCCAGAGUGUUGCCCAGAGGGGGAGGGGGCUCCGGGGGGAGCUCGAGCGACGACUACUACGAUGAGCCGCCACAUCGCCGCGCCCGGGUCAAGGAGGACAAUGAUCCCCCACGCGGUCGCGCCCCUGUCAAGGAGGAGGACUCCGACUGAGCGUGGGCGGCGCCGGAGCCCGGCUUCAGGAGUGGCGGCCCUCGGGAGGCCGCCUUUUUUGUUCUGUUUUUUUCUGCAUCAAGAGUCAUGAAGAGCCCCGCGGGGGCGUGUAAUGAACUACGGCGCUUGUGCCUUUAUAUUAGUGUUUCUUGCUCAUAUUCUAGCAUCAUAUUGUCAUAAACUGAAAGGUUCCUGGCUGGCGCGAUUAGGGUAACUUAGCUUGGUGCGCCUGUGGCCCUUGGCGGGUUGCCGCAUCGUGGGGGCACGCUCCUCUCUCAUAAUAAUUGCAAGUAGGAGCAGCAAGCACAUGCAUAUUAUAUCUAUCAAAAUCAUCAUGUGUAGUAGUAAAACGCAACCCAUCAAUAUAAUCCUUAAUAAGGACUAACUUCUUUGAUAUAGUGUAGUCAGGAGAAUUCAAAAAGAUAAUAGGACUAUCAUGCGUGGGUGCAAUAGCAACAAUUUCAUGUUUAACAUAAGGAACUAUAGCAAGUUCAUCUCCAUAAGCAUAAUUCAUAUUGGCAUCUUGGCCACAAGCAUAGCAAGCAUCAUCAAAAAGGGAUAUUUAGAAAGAAUCAACGGGAUCAUAGCAAUCAUCCUCUGGUAAGAUCGAAGGGAAAUUAAACAAUGUAUGAGUUGAAGAGUUACUCUCAUUAGAAGGUGGGCACGGGUAGCUAAUCCGAUCUUCCUCCUUUUGUUCUUCGCUCUCCUCAUCAUCUUUUUCAUCCAAUGAGCUCACAGUUACAUCAAUUUCUUCUUCCAUAGACUCCUGCAAAAUAUUAGUCUCUUCUCGGACAGCGGAGACUUUCUCAAUAAAUUCAUCAAUAUCAUAAUUGCAUUUAUAAUUCUCAUAGCAAUAUUUAAGGAUAGCUAAAUUUUCAGGUCUAUAAACUGAAUCAUCAAAAUCUUCAAACUCUUUAAACAAAUAUUCAAUUUCACAUGCACCCUUAAAAGCAACAAAUUCUUCUAUUCGUUCCACAUCAUAGUAAUCAUAUAUACCUCCAGCAUAAGAAGCCAAGGUUUUAUUAUCAUUAAAUCUGCAUGAAAAGGCAAGGUGUAGAGCCUUCAUCCUAGAGCAACAAGUAUAAUCAUUUCUCAAGCAUAGUUGCCGAGCAUACCAAUGCAACAUAUGAAUUUGAUCCCAUAAUAGUUUCCCUUUUUGAGUCAAGCGAUAAUCCCUAAAGUAUUCACGUUGAUCCAACGUGUCUCCCAUUAUAUAAUUGAAUGGGGUUUUCUCAGGAUUAUUAAAGUAGUGCAUAAUAUCUUUCACAUAAUGAGCAUCGAGGGUUUUAGGAGGUUCCCCAUCUCCAUGAGUAGCAAGUAAACCUAAUUUUCUUUGGUAUUUCAUGUUCCAUAUCCAUAACUAAAGAUCGAGAACAACUUAGAACAGAAAAUAAAAACUACUUAGUGAUAAAGCAAACAAUCACACACGAGAAUAUUCACCCCACACUAUUGCUCCCCGGCAACGGUGCCAGAAAAAGGUCUUGAUAACCCACAAGUAUAGGGGAUCAAUUGUAGCCUCUUUCGAUAAGUAAGAGUGUCGAACCCAACGAGGAGGUAAAGGUAGAACAAAUAUUCCCUCAAGUUCUAUCGACCACCGAUACAACUCUACGCAUGCUUAACGUUCGCUUUACCUAGAACAAGUAUGAAACUAGAGUACUUUGUAGGUGUUGUUGGAUAGGUUUGCAAGAUAAUAAAGAGCACGUAAAUAAAAACUAGGGGCUGUUUAGGUAAAGAAGAAAUAAAUCUAGUAUAGCGAGUGUGGAAAAGUGGUGGUAGGAGUUGUGAAAUUGUUCCUAAGCAAUUGACUACUUUACUAGACCGAUAACAAGUUUUAUGUGGGAGAGGUCACUGCUAGCAUGUCAUCCCUGACUUGGAAUUCUAUGCACUUAUGAUUGGAACUAUUAGCAAGCAUCCGCAACUAAUAACGUUCAUUAAGGUAAAACCCAACCAUAGCAGUAAGAUAUAAUGGUCCCCCUUCAAUCCCGUAUGCAUCAAUUUCUAUGCUAGGUUGAAGCUUCUGUCACUCUUGCCCUCCAAUACAUAGUCCUAUCAACAUACAACUAACCCUAUGGUGUGAUCCACGCGCGCGCUCAUAUGAUGGGCACCAAAGGACAACAACAUGACCACAAGCAAAUUAAACCAAUCAUAGCAAUUCACCAAUUACCGAUAGGACAACGAAAAUCUACUCAGACAUCAUAGGAUGGCAACACAUUAUUGGAUAAUAAUAUGAAGCAUAAAGCACCAUGUUCAAGUAGAGGGUACAGCGGGUUGCGGGAGAAUGGACCGCUGUAGGUAGAUGGGGGAAGGUGAUGAAGAUGUUGGUGAAGAUGACGGAGGUGUUGGUGUAGAUUGCGGUGACGACGAUGGCCCCGGCGGUGUUCCGGCGCCAGAAGAGAGGGGGAGAGAGCCCCCCCUUCUUCUUCUUCUUCUUCUUCUUCUUCCUUGACCUUCCCCUAGAUGGGAGAAGGGUUUCCCCUAUGGUCCUUGGCUUCCAUGGCAUGGGAGGGGCGAGAUCCCCUUCGAGAUUGGAACUGUCUCUCUGUCUCUCUCUGUUUCUGCGCUCCCUGAUUCUGGCCUUUCACCAUUUCUUAUAUUCCCGGAGAUUCGUAACUCCGAUUGGGCUGAAAUUUGGACAUGAUUUUUAUCCGGAUAUUGGCUUUCUUGCGGCGAAAGAAGGGCACCAACCGCCCUACGGGGUGGCCACGAGGGUCAGGGGCGCGCCCCCUGCCUCGUGGCCCCCUCGGGCAUCGUCUCGCGUUGAUUCUUCUUCCCAAAAAUCACAUAUAUUCAAAAAAAUCUCCGUCAGUUUUUAUCCCGUUUGGACUCCGUUUGAUAUGGAUAUUCUGCGAAACAAAAAACAUGCAACAAACAGGAACUAGCACUGGGCACUGGAUCAAUAUUUUAGUCCCAAAAAUAGUAUAAAAAGUUGCCAAAAGUAUGUAAAAGUUGUAGAAUAUUGGCAUGGAACAAUAAAAAAUUAUAGAUACGACGGGAACGUAUCAAGGUCACACAACCCGCCAGUUUCUGCAUUUCCUUGAGGGUCUAAUUAAGGCGGGCACAUCUUUUCAAUUCCCUUGAUCUUUUCGGGGUUAGCCUCGAUCCCUCGAUGCGAUAUGAGGAAAAUCAAGCAGCUUGCCGAAUGGGACCCCGAAAACGCACUUUUCUGGGUUAAGCCUUAGGUUCACUUGGCACAGGUUGGCAAACGUCUUCUCCAUGUCUUCAAUUAGGGUCCUUGCCUCUUGUGACUUGACCACGAUGUCGUCGACGUACGACUCCGCAUUUCCCCCCUGCUGCGGCCCCAGCGCGAUGCGCAUCAGCCGCUGGAAGGUCGCACGGUGAAAUAAAGGCCGUCUUCUCGACAUCCCCCGUCGCCAUGAUACCCGUAGAAAGCAUCCAAAAACACAGCAGACCGCACUCGGUGGUCGACUCCACGAUCUGGUCGAUGCGUGGGAGCGGGAAAGGGUCCUGAGGGCAAGCCUUGUUGAGGCUCAUGAAGUCGACGCACAUGCGUUCCUUCCCGCCCUUUUUGGGGACAAUGACUAGGUUGGCCAGCCAGUCCGGGUGCCACACCUCUCAAAUGACACCAGCUUCUUGUAACUUGCGCACCUCCUGGACGAUGAACGCUUGCUUCUGUUGCGCCUGAUGUCGCGCUUUCUGCUUCAUCAGGCGUGCACUGGGGCAUACCGCCAAGUGGUGCUUGAUCACCUCCCUCGAGAUGCCGACCAGGUCGGACGCCUCCCAUGCAAACACGUCCUUGUUCGACCGGAGGAAAGCAACCAGCGCCUUCUCCUGCUCUAGGGGAAGGCCGGCGCCGAUGGUGAAGGUGGGGCCCGAGCCCCCACCGUCGACAGGUACCUGCUUCGUCUCUGCUCGGUCCUAAGAGAACUACUGGUUUUUCUUCAUGGGCGCGGCCUCCAGAGCCUCCGGGGCUCCCCCGGUGUAGGGGCGUGAGGCCGCCGCGGCCUUGUAGACGAGCUUGAGGGCCUGUACUGCGUCCUUUGUGUCUCCAACCACAGUGAUGACGGCGUUGCUGCCUGGCAUCUUGAAGACGUUGUAGCUCGGAUGGGUCGCCGCCAUGAAUUUGGCGAGGGUCGGAUACCCCAGGAUGGCAUUGUACGGGAGGCCGAUGCGGGCCCCGUCAAAGUCGAUCAGCUCGAUGCGUUAAUUGUUGCGCUUGUCGAAGGUGACGGGGAGGUGCGCCUACCCCAAGAGGGUAGCGAAGCCUUUGGUCACCCACGAGAAGGGCUUGGUGGGCGCGAGCUGGUCGUAAGGCACCUGGAGCAUGUCGAAGGCCUCCACGGAGAGGAAGUUGAGGCCAGCGCCGCCGUCGAUGAGGGUCUUGGUGACCGCGACAUUACUGAUGGUGGGCAUGCACAGCAUGGGGAGUGCACCAGCAGCAACCGUAGUCCUGGGAUUAUCUUGGAGUCAAAGAUGAUAUCGGCUUCCGGCCUCGCAUGGCCUUGCGAGGCCUCUGGCCUUGGCCGAGUAGCGCCUGCCUGGUGGAGAAGCUACUUGACAUGGCGAUAGGAUGGGGGCGUCUGUGACUGAUACGUCUCCAACGUAUCUAUAAUUUUUGAUUGUUCCAUGCUAUUAUAUUAUCUGUUUUGGAUGUUUAAUGGGCUUUAUUAUACACUUUUAUAUUAUUUUUGGGACUACUCUACUAACCGAAGGCCCAGUGCAAAUUGCUGUUUUUUGCCUAUUUCAGUGUUUCGAAGAAAAGGAAUAUCAAACGGAAUCCAAACGGAAUGAAUCCUUUAGGAGAGUCAUUUUUGGAACAAACGCAGUCCAGGAGACUUGGAGUGGACGUGAAGCAAGCGACAAGGAAGCCACGAGGCAGGGAGGCGCGCCCCCACCCUCGUGGGCCCCUCGUGGCUCCCCUGACCGACUUCUUUCGCCUAUAUAUACUCAUAUACCCCGAAAACAUCCGAGAGCACCAUGAAACCUUAUUUCCACCGCCGCAACCUUCUGUACCCGUGAGAUCCCAUCUUGGGGCCUUUUUCGGCGCUCCGCCGGAGGGGGAAUCGAUCAUGGAGGGCUUCUACAUCAACACCAUAGCCUCUCCGAUGAUGUGUGAGUAGUUUUUCACAGACCUUCGGGUCCAUAGUUAUUAGCUAGAUGGCCUCUUCUCUCUCUUUGGAUCUCAAUACAAAGUUCUCCUGGAUUCUCUUCGAGAUCUAUUCGAUGUAAUUCUUUUUGCGGUGUGUUUGUCGAGAUCCGGUGAAUUGUGGGUUUAUGAUCAAGAUUAUAUAUGAACAAUAUUUGAAUCUCCAAUGAAUUCUUUUAUGUAUGAUUUGUUAUGUUUGCAAGUCUCUUCGAAUUAUCAGUUUCGGUUGGCCUACUAGAUUGAUCUUUCUUGCAAUGGGAGAAGUGCUUAGCUUUGGGUUCAAUCUUGCAGUGUCCUUUCCCAGUGACAGUAGGGGCAGCAAGGCACGUAUUGUAUUGUUGCCAUCAAGGAUAAAAAUAUGGGGUUUAUAUCAUAUUCCUUGAGUUUAUCCCUCUACAUUAUGUCAUCUUGCCUAAUACGUUACUCUGUUCUUAUGAACUUAAUACUCUAGAUGCAUGCUGGAUAGCGGUCGAUGUGUGGAGUAAUAGUAGUAGAUGCAUAAUCAUUUCGGUCUACAUGUCGCGGACGUGAUGCCUAUAUACAUGAUCAUGCCUAGAUAUUCUCAUAACUAUGCACUUUCCUAUCAAUUGCUCGACAGUAAUUUGUUCACCCACCGUAUACUUAUGCUAUCUUGAGAGAAGCCACUAGUGAAACCUAUGGCCCCCGGGUCUAUUUUCCAUCAUAUAAGUUUCCAAUCUAUUUUACUUUGCAAUCUUUACUUUCGAUCUAUAUCAUAAAAAAUACUAAAAAUAUUUAUCUUAUUAUCUCUAUCAGAUCUCACUUUUGCAAGUGGCCGUGAAGGGAUUGACAACCCCUUUAUCGCGUUGGUUGCAAGGUUCUUAUUUGUUUGUGUAGGUACAAGGCGAUUUGCAUGUAGUCUCCUACUGGAUUGAUACCUUGGUUCUCAAAAA
rnacentral:lncRNA from 1 species